rnacentral:lncRNA from 1 species
GUAGUGCUGCAUUGGGGUUCCUUGAUAGCCUACUUGAUAACAUUAGUUUUGAUUUUUAUGUUUUUCCUUUAAAUUUAAUUGCAUAAUUUAAAUAACAUAUUUUUGUUAGUUAAAUACGCCAUUAAACAUAAAAUUUAAAUUCACCUAAAACAUAAAAAAAAAUUACAUAAAAAUUUUAAAACACCUAAAACAUAAAAAAAAAAUUACAUAAAAAUUAAAAACACCUAAAACAUCAUAUUACGUCCUAGUCUAGACCACGACGCCUGAGCACAUCGGCGACCAUGGACGCGUGCAAUGCCCUUUGUGCCUCCGUCAUGUGCGUCGUAUCUGUGUUCAGGAGCUGCAUAUCGAGCUCCCUCUCCUUGAUAUCGUUCCUC